CAGCAGUAAGGAAUAUUGCGCAAUGGAGGCAACUCUGACGCAGCCAUGCCGCGUGCAGGAAGACGGCCUUAUGGGUUGUAAACUGCUUUUACAAGGGAAUAAAACCCCGUUCUUGAACGGGGCUGAUUGUCCCUUUCAAGAAAAUAGAAACAAACCCUGGG
rnacentral:rRNA from 1 species